AUUGAACGCUGGCGGCAGGCCUAACACAUGCAAGUCGAGCGGAUGAAGGGAGCUUGCUCCUGGAUUCAGCGGCGGACGGGUGAGUAAUGCCUAGGAAUCUGCCUGGUAGUGGGGGAUAACGUCCGGAAACGGGCGCUAAUACCGCAUACGUCCUGAGGGAGAAAGUGGGGGAUCUUCGGACCUCACGCUAUUAGAUGAGCCUAGGUCGGAUUAGCUAGUUGGUGGGGUAAAGGCCUACCAAGGCGACGAUCCGUAACUGGUCUGAGAGGAUGAUCAGUCACACUGGAACUGAGACACGGUCCAGACUCCUACGGGAGGCAGCAGUGGGGAAUAUUGGACAAAGGGCGAAAGCCUGAUCCAGCCAUGCCGCGUGUGUGAAGAAGGUCUUCGGAUUGUAAAGCACUUUAAGUUGGGAGGAAGGGCAGUAAGUUAAUACCUUGCUGUUUUGACGUUACCAACAGAAUAAGCACCGGCUAACUUCGUG
rnacentral:rRNA from 1 species